GCGCACUUUGGCAGCACAUAUACUAAAAUUGGAAUGAUACAAAGAAGAUUAGCAUGGCCCCUGCGCAAGGAUGACACACAAACAAAACAAAACAAAUAAAGGCCU